GAUCACUUUGCGUUUGUAGGGUCCAUUCUGUUUGUCCUUAGCCGUGCACUCUAGCUAGCUAGGAAGUUUGAUGUCAUCAAAUUUCACAUGAUGUAUAGCGACGUCCAAACAUCAAAACAUUGCUAGCAAAUUGUAAAAAAAAAAUGGAUAGUAACAAUAUAAUUCCAUUAAAUAACGACAGUAGACGCUGUAUUUUCUUUAAUACAGAUUCUGACGACUAUCGAUGUGUGGUGAUUCUCACAGUGAAGCGAGCCACAGGCACCUUCUCACUGAUAGGAUGCUUUUUCAUGCUGUUUGUAAUCUGGCUUCUCCGCCGGUAUCACUCCUUGGCCCAGGUCACCAGGCUGCUCAUUUUGGAGCGCACCUGUCACCAUCGUUACGUGGACCUGUGCGUCAUCAGUCUCACCUGGACUCCAUCACUUCCCUGAUUACCUUCCCUAUACAGUUGAAGUCGGAAGUUUACGUACACUUAGGUUGGAGUCAUUAAAACUUGUUUUUCAACCACUCCACAAAUUUCUUGUUAACAAACUAUAGUUUUGGCAAGUCUGUUGUGUCAUGCACAAAGUAGAUGUCAUAAGUAAUUUUUCCAACAAUUGUUUACAGACACAUUAUUUCACUUAUUCACUGUAUCACAAUUUCAGUGGGUCAGAAGUUUACAUUCACAAAGUUGACUGUGCCUUUAAACAGCUUGGAAAAUUCCAGAAAAUGAUGUCAUGGCUUUAGAAGCUUCUGAUAGGCUAAUUGACAUCAUUUGAGUCAAUUGGAGGUGUACCUGUGGAUGGAUUUCAAGGCCUACCUUCAAACUCAGUGCCUCUUUGCUUGACAUCAUGGGAAAAUAAAAGAAAUCAGCCAAGACCUCAGAAAAAUAAUUGUAGACCUCCACAAGUCUGGUUCAUCCUUUGGAGCAAUUUCCAAACGCCUGAUCGUACCACGUUCAUCUGUACAAACAAUAGUACGCAACUAUAAACACCAUGGGACCACACAGCCGUCAUACUGCUCAGGAAGGAGACACGUUCUGUCUCCUAGAGAUGAACGUACUUUGGUGCGACAAGUGCAAAUCAAUCCCAGAACAACAGCAAAGGACCUUAUGAAGAUGCUGGAGGAAACGGGUACAAAAGUAUCUACAUCCACAGUAAAACGAGUCCUAUAUCGACAUAACCUGAAAGGCCGCUCAGCAAGGAAGAAGCCACUGCUCCAAAACAUCCAUUAAAAAGCCAGACUACCAACAAAAGCCAACUCACCCAAUUUAUUGUGGGAAGCUUGUGGAAGGCUACCUGAAACAUUUGACCCAAGUUAAACAAUUUAAAGGCAUUGCUACCAAAUACUAAUUGAGUGUAUGUCAACUUCUGACCCACUGGGUAUGUGAUGAAAGAAAUAAAAGCUGAAAUAAAUCAUUCUAUCUGCUAUUAUUCUGACAUUUCACAUUCUUAAAAUAAAAUGGUGAUCCUAACUGACCUAAGACAGGGCAUUUUUACUAGGAUUAAAUGUCAGGAAUUGUGACAAAACUGAGUUUAAAUGUAUUUAGAUAAGGUGUAUGUAAACCUCCGACUUCAACUGUACAUGUCACUCCCUUUGAUUCCUUCCCCAGGUGUUAUUGUUUCACUUAUGUUUGUGCAUUGUUCGUGUUUCUUGUUUUGAAUUAUGUUGCGUUUAUUUAUUAAAACAACUACUUCCUGAACUUGCUUCCCGACUUUCAGCGCACAUUUUUACACUACUGACCAGCAGCAGCAUCAGUGCUUGGAGAAGCAUAAUUACCGUGACUAAGCUGUCAUUUGGAAGUUGACUGCCUUCAUGACUCGUAAUGACCGGUGUGGUGGUAAUACGGUCACCGCAACAGCCCUAUGUAUGUGCCAGGGUUUCCGUUAACCAGUGGGCCAGCUUUUGGCCCAUAAAAAAUUGAAACGCUAAUAAAUAACAUUUGCACCGGCCACUUGUUUGUGAGAAGUAGAAAAAACAUCUCAUUGCGAAUAAUGCUUUUUAGCCUAUUCAUUGAUGGAAAUACCUGUAGAUGUAAAUACAUUUGACUGGUCAUACUUAUCGGUCUAUAGAUUCAUUUGCAUAAUUUAUUGGAAUUAAAUUAGCGCGUGUGUCACAGUAUAUUCGUUAUGUGUCUUAUUUAUCACACGAAUACAGCGUACGGAUACAGAGC
ensembl:lncRNA